AUUAAAUCAGUUAUAGUUUAUUUGAUGGUGUUUUCUACUCGGAUAACCGUAGGAAAACUAGAGCUAAUACGUGCGUAAAUCCCGACUCACGAAGGGACGUAUUUAUUAGAUAAGAGGCCGACCGGGCUUUGCCCGACCUUCGGUGAAUCAUAAUAACUUCACGAAUCGCAUGGUCUUGAACCGGCGAUGUUUCAUUCAAAUUUCUGCCCUAUCAACUUUCGACGGUAGGGUAGUGGCCUACCGUGGUGGUAACGGGUGACGGAGGAUUAGGGUUCGAUUCCGGAGAGGGAGCCUGAGAAACGGCUACCACAUCCAAGGAAGGCAGCAGGCGCGCAAAUUACCCAAAUCCCAACUCGGGGAGGUAGUGACAAGAAAUAACGAUGCUCCGGCCUCACGGUCGGGUAAUCGGAAUGAGAACAAUUUAAAUCCCUUAUCGAGGAUCAAUUGGAGGGCAAGUCUGGUGCCAGCAGCCGCGGUAAUUCCAGCUCCAAUAGCGUAUAUUUAAGUUGCUGCGGUUAAAAAGCUCGUAGUCGGAUUUCGGGUGGCGCCUACCGGUCCGCCUUUGGUGAGUACUGGUAGGCACCACCUUUCUGCCGAGGACGGGGUACUGGGCUUAAUUGUCUGGGCCCCGGAGUCGGCGAUGUCACUUUGAGUAAAUUAGGGUGUUCAAAGCAGGCUUAUGCUCUG
rnacentral:rRNA from 1 species